UGGAAACUCCCUCUGUUACCCUGGCUGGAAUGGGGUGGCGCAACCUCUCAGCUCACUGCAACCUCCACCUCUCGGGUUCAAGCGAUUCUCCUGCCUCAACCUCCCGAGUAGCUGGGACUACAGGCGCCCACCAUUAUGCCAGGCUAAUUUUUUUGUAUUUUUAGUGAAGACGGCGUUUCACCCUGCUGGCCAGAGUGGUGUCACACUCCUGACCACGUGAUCCAAGUGCUGGGAUUACAGGUAUGAGCCACUGUGCCCGGCCCUUUUAUAUGUUUUCUGAUGCAUGCUUAGAUUAUCUAUCGAGAGUAACACUUUUCAGAAGUUUACACUCUUUUAAAUGGGCAGAGAACCAAAACUGAAAAUCGCUUAUCACUGCUUCGGUGUUUGCCUAGGUAAAUGAAGUUUCGAAUCUACUUCGAUGAAUUUUUCAUACUAUGUAAGUUGCAUUUUGGGGAUCUUGUAAGAAAUAGAUUAUUUUCUAUUGUCCCUUGUACUGCUGGUGAUGUGAAGCUGCUCAAGCAGACCCUACCCACUUGCCUUUCAGUUAAAGAAAUUUUUAUCAUAGUACACACCUUGUUCAGAAAAUAAUCUAGUAGCUGAGUAAAACAGAUACUUUUCCCACAGUAAAACCAGAACUAUGUGGAAAACAGCCAUGUUUCUCAGCAGUUAAAUCUGAAGUUUUCUGAGGUUGAUUUGCAUUUCUGCCAUGUAUGUAUAGUGUGGCUUGCUUAAUCUGGUUGUUACCGCAAAUCUUAAACGUCCGCGUUUCUUUUUCUUUUUAUUUUCUUGAGACAGAAUUUUGCUCUUGUCUCCCAGGGUGCAGUGCAGUAACAUGAUCUCGGCUCACUGCAACCUCUGUCUCACAGUUCAGGCGAUUUGCCUGCCUCGGCCUCCUAAGUAGUGGGAUUACAGGCGCCUGCCAAACUUUUGUAUUUUUAGUGGAGACGGGGUUUCACCCCGUCUUGGACAGGGUGGUCUUGAACUCGUGACCUCAAGUGACCCAGCUACCUCGACCUCCCAAAGUGCCGGGAUUAUAGGCGUGCACCACUGCCCCCACCAGAUUCUGCAUUUUAAUAUAAAACAUUAGCUACUUUUCCAAAGUAAUAAAUUAAAAAGUAAGAUGUUCAAAGUACUAGUAUUUAGUCAACUUUUUAUGAUUACAUAAUUUCAGUGUAAAUGAAGAACCCGUUCCUUUUUGUUAGCCAUUAAGUUACUAUGACCUCGUUUUAUUUCUCUUAGACGUGUUCUAAUUAACUUCUCCUAAAAGGCAAAACUUUUUCUCUACAUUCCAUAUCCACAAGGCUUUUUAUCAUAUCUAGUAGGGGACAUCCAUGGGAACAGAUAUCAAAUAGAGUACUAGUACAGUUGGCAUUCAAGAAUGUUUUACGUAAGCCAGGUGUCAGGUGCCGUGGUUCACACGUGUAAUCCCGGCACUUUUGGAGGCCCAGGCAGGCGGAUCACCAGAGGUCAGGAAUUCGAGACCAGCCUGGCCAACAUGUGGAAACCCCAUGCCUACUAUAUAUAAAUAUAAAAAUUUGCCAGCCAUAGUGGUGCAAGCCUGUAAUCCCAGUUACUUGGGAAGCUGAGGCAGGAGAGUCACUUGAACCUGAGAGGCGGAGGUUGCGGUGAGACUGCAGUCCAGCCUGAGUGACAGAGUGAGACUCUAUCUCAAAAACAACAAAAAAAAGUAUUCUGUCAUGUACAUUCACACUUUAGAACUUGAUCGUUUGGAUGUUUGGGAACCUCCAGUUCUUUGUCAUGACUGAGGCAUUGGGUGAGUAGUAAACAGAAAACUGGAGAAGGGAUCUGAUGGUGUCAAACUCCUGUCAUCCUAAGACUUUCUAACUGUCUUCGUAGUUAAUAACAGAGCUAUUAUUGCCUGGUUUUAUACAAAGGAAUCAAUAAGCGUGCAAAAGUCUUUCUUUUAGCGCACUCCCAUCUUUAUAAAUGCUCCGUUUGUUCUUUACACAUAGACAAGGGGAGUAUUCCUUCUUCUUCGUCUUCCUCUCUCUUUUUUUUUUUUUUUUUUUUUUUUUGUUUUGUUUUGUUUUGAGACAAAGUUUCACUUUGUCUCCAGGGUGGAGGGCAGUGGCGAGAUGUCUCUGGGCUCACGGCAACCUGCGCCUCCCAGGUUCAAGCGGCUCUUCUGCCUCAGCCUUCUGAGUAGCUGGGACUACAGACACGUGCCGACACACCCAGCUAAUUUUUGUAUUUUGGAGACAGGAUUUUGCCAUGGGCCAGGGUGGUCUCGGCCUCUUGACCUCGUGAUCCACCUGCCUUGGCCUCCCAAAUCCCAAAGUGCUGGGAUUUACAGGCUGGGCCACCGCUCCUGGCUUCGAGUAUUUCUAAGACUAGAAGCCCAGGGAAGAAAUGGAAUAUUUUCAAUUUGUAGAAUAUAAGGAGAGGCACAAAUUGGGAAACAUUUUAAGGAAUAAAGUCCACAGAUCCUUGUGCAUGUGUGCUCUGAACAAGACAAAAUCCAGAAAGGACAGAGCAAAAGAUUAUCAUUUACCUGUAGAAAAUCUAAGUGAUUCUAAUUGGUUUAGAAUGGAACAGAUGGUUAUGGGUAUCUGAAAUUUAGAAAUGAAAGUUAGUUAGUUAAUCUACAGGUGAGGAGACUACAAAUCUACCUUGUGGCAUCACAUAAAGGGAAGGGAAAAAAAGCUAAAGAAAAAAAAAAAGCAGGAAGAAUUAAUAUUUUGAAAACCGUAUCUGUAUAAUUCUGAAAAGACAGAAAAAGAUCUCUUGGGUUAGUGCACGGUUGCUGUAGAGUUAACCUAAGCAACAUCGGUGAAAUAAUGUAGUUACACCCACAACUCAAAAGAUAUUUCCCUGUGGAUUAAUAUUUAAAAUUUUACAUUUGUAUUCAUAAUCCAUUUUGAGCUAAAUUUUUAUAUAAAUUAUAAGGCAUACAUCAAUAUUAUUUUUUGUUUUGUUCUUGCAUUUUGUGUCUAAGCUCCAGGACCAUUUGUUUGUACCUCUAAAAAGGAUCAGUAGAGUGAAUUCGUGUUGCUUGAUUUUCGUGUUUUCUAGUCAGGUCCAUUUUUAUAUCUGUUCAUCUUUGUGCCAGUGCCUCACUCUCUGGUUUGCCGUAAUUACCUAAUAGGUCUUCAUAUACAGCAAACAGUUUUUCUUUAUUCUUUAUGAAGAUUGUUUUACAUCUUAUAGAGUCUUUCCUUUUCGUAUAAAUUUUAGAGUAAGUUUGUCUAGGGCUACAGAAAGCCUUCCUGUGAUUUUUCAUAUGUUGGGCUAACUAUAUAGACAACAAUGUUUCUCAUGUCUAGAAUACAUGUCUACAUAAAUAUGCUUGCAGUAUAAUUGAUAGGUUAAUAAAAUUAGUAUCUUUAAUAUGUUGUGUAUCCCAAUCUGUAUAUUUCUCUUCAUUUCAGUCCGCGAUUUUUUUUCCACUGGCUUUUAUAAUGUUCAGUAUGCAGAUCCUGUUUGGAUCUUAUUCCCGCAGAUUAUGUCAUUUUUAAAAAUUGAUACAUAAUAUGUUACCUAUAUACGAGGGUACACGUGAUAUGUUGGUAUAUGUAUACAAUGUGUGAUUCUUAAAUUAGGGUAUUUUGAGUGUCCAUUACUUUGAGGAUUUACCAUAUCUAUGGAUUAGGGAAAAUUCAAGUCUUCUUCUCUUUCUAACUUGAAAUAUACAUUGUUAUUAACUACAGUUACUCAUCUACACUGCUGCGGAAUAGUAGAAAUGCCUUUUAUGUAACCGUAUGUUUGUACCCAUUAACCUACCUGUCUUGAUCAGCUUCCUCCCAGCCAUCCAUCCUUCCCAGCCUUUAGUAUAUCAUUCUACUCUCUACCUUUAUGAAAUCAUUUUUUAGCCCCCAUAUAUGAAUGAGAGCAUGCAAUAUUUACCUUUCCACAUCUAGGUUAUUUCACUUAACAUAAUGUACUUGGACAAGGCUCAGUGCUCAUACCUGUAAUCCCAGCACUUUGGGGGCUGCGGCAGGUGAAUCACUUGAGCCCAGGAGUUUGAGACCAUCCUGGGCAACAUGGUGAAAUUCCUCCUCUACAAGAGAUACAAAUAUUAGUCGGGUGUGAUGGCACAUUCUUGUAUGGCCACCUACCUGGUAGGCAGAAGUUAAAUGAUCUCUUAAGCCUGGGAGUUCAGGGAUGCAGUGUGCCGUCAUUGUGCCACUUCCUCUAUCCUCGGUGAUAGGGCAACAUUCUGCCUCAAAAACAGUAAACUAAUGAAUUCCACUUCCAUUCAUUUUCUGCAAAUGACAUGCUUUCGUUUUUGCUAUUUUUAUCUUAUUAUGUGUUUUGAUUUGAAUAUUCUCAUGCUUAGUGAUGUUGAGCAGUUUUAUAUGCCUGUUGGCUGUCUAUAUGUCUUUUUAGGAAUUGUCCAUUAUGUCAUUUGUCCACUUUUUUUUUUUUUUUUUUUUUGAGACAAAGCCUCGCUCUGUCCCCUAGGCUGGAAUGCAGUUGUGGGAUCCUGGCUCACUGCAACCUCUGCCUCCCGGGUUCAAGCGAGUCUCCUGCCUCAGCCUCCCGAGUAGCUGGGAUUGCAGGUGCUCGCCACUGUGCCUGGCUAAUUUUUGUAUUUUUGGUAGAGCUAAGAUCUUACCAUGUCAUUCAGACUGGUCUGAAAUUCCUGACCUUGUGAUCUACCCACCUCAUCCUCCCAAAGUGCUGGGAUUACCGCACUUGUCCAUCUUCUAAUGGGAUUGGUUUUAUACAUGAGUUGUAUGAGCUUGCAUUUUCCAGAUACCAUUGGUCCCUUGUCAGAUGAAUGGUUGGCAAAUAUUUUCUCCAAUUCUGUGGGUUGUCUGUUCCCUCCAGUGUUUGUUUCCUUAGCUGUGCAGAAGCCUUUUCGUUUAAUAUAGUGCCAUUUGUCUAUUUUUGUUUUUGUUGGCUGUGCUUUUGAGGUCUUGGCCAUAAAAUUUUGACCUAGAUCAGUGUUCUGUUGUAUUUCCUCUACUGCUUCUAGUAGUGGUAAACUUUUAGGUCUUUAAGUCUUUGAUCCAUCUGGAGGUUAUUUUAGUUUACAUAUUUUGAGACAUAGUCUUGCUGUGUCACCCAGGCUUGAGUGUAGUGGCAAGAUCUUGACUCGCUGCCGUCGCAACCUCCCAGGUUCAAGCAAUUCUUCUUCCUCUGUUUCCCAUGUAGCCAGGACUAUGGGCACCUGCCACCAUCCCUGGCUAAUUUUUGUAUUUUUAGUGGAGACAGGGUUUCGUCACAUUGGCCAGGCCGGUCUCCAGUUCCUGACAAGUGAUCCACCCACUUCAGCCUUUCAGAGUGCUGGGAUAACGGCAUGAUCCAGUGCACGUAGCCUGGAGGUGAUUUUGUCAUUCAGUAAGGAAAGAGCUCUAGUUUCAUUCUAUUACAUAUGGAUGUACGAUUUUCCCCACCACCAUUUGGUAAAGUUGGUGUGCUUUUUCAAGUGUAUAUUCUUUUCAUCUUUUUUUUUUUUUAAAGAAAGUCACUUGGCUGUAAAUAUCAGGAUGUAUUCUGGGGUUAUCUUCCUGGGUUAAUUUGCUUCCAUUGAUCUAUGUGUCUUUUUAUAUCAAUACUAUGUUCUUUUGGUUAUUGUAUCCCUGUAAUACAUUUUUAAGUCAGGUAGCAUAAUGUCUCUUUUUCAUGUGGAUUGCUCUGGCUAUUUAGCUAGUUUUGUUGUUAGCGUUACAUGAACUUUAGGAUUGUUUUGUCUAUGUCUGUGGAAAAUGGCGUUGGUAUUUCAAAGGUGAUUGGACUGAUUCUGCAGAUUACUUUGAGCAGAUUGUUCACUUUAAUGACAUUCCUCGAAUCUGUGAGCAUGGGAUGCAAUUCAUUAGGGAUAAUGGUCUGCAGUUUUCUUUUUUGUUGUGUGUUUUCUGGUUUGGGGCAGUAGUGUGUUCCAUUUAAUGACAUGAAUUCCUCUGAUCCAAGAGCAAGUGGAUGCAUUCAUCAAAGAUUGUGGUCUGCAGAUUUUUGUUGUGUGUUUUCCGGUUUUGGUUAUCAGUUAAUGCUGGUCUGAUAGAAUGAGUUAGGGAUAAUUCCUUCCUCGGUGUUUUGGAAUAGGCAGAUUGAUGUUUAUUCUUUGUUACAUGUUUAGUAGAAUUCAGCAGAGAAUCCAUUUGUUCUUUGGCUUUUCUUUGUGGGAGGCUUGUUAUUACUGAAUCAGUAUCAAUACUUGUCAGGUGUUCAGGAUUUUUAAUUCUUGAUUCACUCCAGGUAGUUUGUAUGUUUCCAGGAAUUCAUCCAUUACUUCUGAAUUUUCCAUUUAGUUUAUACUUGUUCAUAGUAACCCGUUGUCUUUUCUCUGGUAUCAGAUGUAAUAUCUCCUUUUUUACCUCUAUUUGUAUUUAUUUGUUUUUCUUCUUUUCUUGGUUACCUUAGCUAGUAGUUGAUCAGUUUUAUAUUUUCAAGAACCAACUUUGUGUUCAUUGAUCCUCUGCACACUUUCUUUAGUCCCCGCCCCCCCCCCAGCUUUUUUUAUUUGAGAUUUGGUGUCACCUUUAUUAUUUUGCGUCUUCUGCUAAUUUUGGGUUGGACUGUUAUAUUUGUAAUAGAUGCAUCAUUAGAUUGCUUAGUUAAGAUCUUUGUACUAUUUAGAUGCAUGCGCUUAUUGUUACACACUUCUCUUUUUUAAACUGCUCAUGUGAUAUUAAACAGAUUUUGAUGUAUUGUUCCCAUUUUCAUUUAUUUUAAUAAUUUUUUUUCAUUUGAAUCUUUACUUCUUCAUUGACCAAUGGUUGUUAAAGAGCAUGUCCUUUAAUUGCCACAUAUAUAUAGUUUCCAAGGUUCCCACUGGUAUUAAUUUCUAGUUUCUCAUGGAGUUUUUUUUUUCUCUUUUGCCUGUUAUUAUAUGAUUGUGUGUGUGUGUGUGUGUGUGUGUGUGUGUGUUUAAUUUUUUAAAGUGAGUUAGUAUCUCACUAUAUGAGGCUGAUCUUGAACUCCUGGGAUCAAGCGGACAUCCCACAUCAGCUUCCCUAAGUGCUGAAAUUACAGGUGUGAGCCACCAUGACGAGCCUUUUGUAUUUUUUUUUUAUUUUAAUUUUCAUAUGUUUUUCAGACAGUGUCUUGCUCUGGAGUGCAGUGGGGCAGUCAUGGCUCACUGCAGCUUUGACCGCUGGGCUCAAGUAAUCCUCACACUUUAGGUUCCUGAGUAGCUGGGCCUACAGACAUAAUGCCACCAUGCCCUGCUGAUUUAUGUUAUUUAUUUAUUUUUUUAGAUGGAGACCCAAGACUAUCAUUACUCACCUGCAAUUAAUUUUCCUCAGGACUGGUCCAGCAUUUCAGUCAGAAAUGAAAGAGCACCUGCAGAAGGAGUCUGAGAUCUCAGAGGGAGCAUGCAUACUACUUUGAUCUAAUAAUUUUAAACAAUAAAAUUGAGGAAAAUGAUUAGACAUCUGGAAGAAGCUGGUUUGAGCUUCAGGGCACUCAAAGAAGUGCCACUUCUCCUGUGUAACGCCCUGCCAGGGAGAUCGGGAAACUUUUCCUGUUUCAACUGGGGACUCAUCUGAGAUCCCAGAAGGUGAGCGAAAAUGUGAAGAUCUGCUUCUUUUCCAAAACCCUGCCACCUCUCUUUCUUACAGAUGAAAGGAUCUGUUUCCCUUCAAGGAGAUUUAACUGCCCUAAGUGGGCUGGUCAAACCCCACCUUUGUCUCUUUUCUCUUUCUCGUGGUUUGAAAUGGCUGUUAACACGUCCUUUAUAACGUUAAGGGUUUUGCUACCGGCUGCAGCAAUGCUGUUAAGUAAGAUGGCUCAGCUGCCAAAAGUGCAAAUCUGAUGAACUGUCCUUAGAGGUGCCAUCUCUGCCACCAGCCUGACAGACGCAAACACACACAGUUCAGGGAGCCUCCCCUUACCUUGUUUCCUCCCCGCACGGGAACCCAGACAUGUCCACAGCAUGCAAAGGUUGUGUCUAACAGCCAUGAGCUGGCGUAGGUGAGAGAAAACCAGGGUGGUAGCCAGGACCUCACAGGGCUGGCAGGCAAGUGCUUCUUGCCUGUCACACCAAUGGAACCUUUCCUCCCCUGGCCAAGGAAUUCAACCAAGUAUGAACCAGAGGAAGCAUACAAGGAUUAAAGGGACCCACUUGCACAGGGCAAGGAGGUCUUUCCCUAGAACCUCCCCGUUUUGAUCCUUAACCUGGUUUUUCUAUUUUUUUCCUUUUCUGAGUGAGAGGACUCCCACUUCCCAACACUCUAUUUCUGAUAGGGAAGUUAACAAAGAACCAUCCCUUGCUGGCUGACAACUGCAAAUUCAGCAGGCCCGUUUGAGACACUACCCAAACAGAAGCAGUCUCUGAAAUAUCUUUUUUGGUCCCAAACUUCAUUCCAAGCCUCCAGCUGAGAACUUAGAAAAUAAGCCCAGGUCAGAGGGAUCCAAAGUCAGGCAACGGGCACAAUGUAAAUAGGCAGCACUAAUUCCUAUUGACUCAACCCCCAACACCAUGGAAGGAGGCCAUACUCCCAUGGCAUAAACAGGCCCAGAGAACUCAAACUUUGUCAACAGCAGGGAGAAAGGUGGCACACAUGAGGGUGGUUAAUUCCUAUUCUGCAGGUUUUCCCUGCUCCAUGGGUCCACACUGCAUUGGUACCUAUGGCCAACACCUGCCAAGGUCACUGAGACUGAGGGAUAAGUGGCGGAAGGGAAGGGAGGAUACUAGCUUUCCUUCUCCAUCACACACUCAGUUUUUGCUUCAGCAAAACUGAAGUUAAAGAAAUGAGACAUGCCUCUAUUUCCUGUCUUUCAGAAUGGGCAACCAGCUCUCUUCACCACUCCCAGCUUAUAUUCCUCGGCAGUGUGUCCUGAACCAUUGAGACUGCUUUGACCCUCAGAAUCUGGAGAAAAAUGCCGAUGGCCCUCAAAGGUUUGGAGAAAUUAAAGACCGGGUUGGCCCUUUAUAAUUCAAUUCUAUACCAUCAAUUCAAUUCAAUUCUAUACCACCUGGCAGCUGGAGCGUUUUCAUAGACGUGAGAACAGAUGGUCUGGCUCUCAUAUAUGCAGGGCUUCUGUGACUUGCAAGGCAAUCCAGAACUUUGCCAACAGUGUACGAUUGAUCCAGUCCUCCUGUUUGGCAUCUCAGGGAAGACUUCAAGGGGCAAGCCUAGGAAAUUAAGGAUCUGAGUGCCAGAGGCACCCCAGCAGAUGAGCCAGCUUCCUCCAGCUCUGCUCCUCCAGGUCCACCCAAACCUCCAUAUCCAGCUUCAGCCUCUCACUUGUCCCCUCCUAGAAAUCCUUGCCCUUCACAAGCCCCAGACUCACUCUUGCCCCUCCAUCAUAUUGUGAUAACCUACCCUUUGUUAGCCUAACCAGUUCUCUCUUUCUUAGCUGAGAGCUGCACAGACUCUGGGAUAGCUUCAUGGGCUGGACAGACUCCCCUUUAGUUUCUUCACUUGCCCAUCCCCUCCCCUGACUUCUUCCCUUCCCCUAAGCAGGUAGCUGGGCUAAGCUGACUACAAGCAGACAAUGGAGUGUCCUUACUGAUAAGAUACCAAGUUAAGCUGUACCAGCCUCUCCUAGGGAUGUCUCUGCUAAUAGUAUCAGCCACCCCUCCGAACCUGCCCGCUGAUAACCAAAAGCCCCUACAUCGGCAACUGUUUAUCUUUCUGCAACAGUUUACCUUUUAAUCUUUGCUUGCUCUGCUUCUGUAAAACUUGCUUUAGCUAGGCUCCCCUUCCCUCCUUUAAGCAAGGCAUGAAAACAAACAAAGCCCCUUCUUCAGGGCUGAGAGAAUUUUGAGCAUUAGCCGUCUCUCGGUCCCCAGCAAACAGAGGACUCCUGAUUCAAUCUCAGCGUGUGGUGCUUUCUCUAACUCGCUGGGGUACCACAAAAUGCCCAGUGAAUCUGGGCCCAGUAAGGUCCAAGUCCCCUUCUCCCUAUAAAACUUAAAGCAAAUUUCCAGAAUCUCACCCAAAUAUUUGAACUCUCCUGGAAAGAUAUGUUACUUCUGAAUCAGUCCCUGAUAGGCACUGCUGCUUGGAUCUGGGGAUGAGCUUUGCAUCACACAUAGCAUCAGGGAAUGGAGCAAAUACCAUCCAAGUGGAAGAGAAGCAGUAUCAGUGAAUUACCCUAAAUGGGAUACCAGUGAUGGGAUAGUAGACUGGAAGAGGAGACACUUUCAGGUGUGCGUAAUGAAAGGCUUAAUGUAGGACUAAGACCAAGCAUCCCAAUUAUACUAAGUUGUCCACAACUGACCAAAGAUUUGAUGAAAAUCUCACUACCUUCUUGGAAAAGCUGAGAGGUCUUGGUCAAGCACACCUCUCUAUCCCCUGAUUCACCUGAGGGACAGCUAAUCCUAAAGGAUAAAUUUACAACUCAGGCAGCCCUUGAUUUUAGGAGGAGGUGGAAGAAAUGGUCCCUGGGGCCGGAUAGUACAUUAGAGGACCCCCUGAAAGUGGCAACCUCAGUCUUUUACAAGAGAGAAAUGGGGACCCGAGAAAGAGGCAUAAGCUUUAAUGACCACCAGGUAAGCCCACAAACACCAGAAUUUCCAGGCAGGGUACACCUGUUAACUGCUAAAAAUAUGGCUACAACAGGUACCUGUCUUCUAAAGUUUAAGUGAUCCCAUUCGAGAUUUAAUUUCUUUCAGCAAUGCAAAACAGCUCGGUAUACAAUGUUUUUGUUAGUAUAUUUUACGUCUUAGCUCAAUCUUUGGCCCUAAAUUUUCCUUCUAUGAUAUGCAUUUAAACCAUGCAUAUGUGACCUUAUAAAACUUGUUUUGUUUUUCUCUCAUGCAGAGGCCACCAAACUCCAAACAGGCAGGCAACCAGAGCCUCAAGACAAGCUAAGAACCCUUAAUUAAACAGAGCUCUAGAAGGAAUCUGACUGCCGUUUUCCUAAAAACAACGCCCCCUGUCAGAAGGAAGCAGCUAAGACUGGUUGUCUCCAUGUUUUGAUGGCAGUUAGAUAGGUGUACCUCUUCAGAGGACAAACAUGAUACAAGAAGAGGGCAGGGUCCCUGGCAAGGGCUCCACCCUCGUGCCCGUGUACCUAGGUGAGAAGACGUACUCCUGUGUUCACACCCAAAUCUUGCAUUUUCCUAGAGCACCCUGGCCUGCCACAGCCGCCACCCUGUGCCUAUAGAAACCCCAAGACCAUAGUGGGCACACACGCAAACAGCAGGACAUCAAGAGGUACACACUGGCAGAUCACACAGAUGGUGACAGACCACUGACAGUAGGGUGGUCUCGAUGCCGAGGAAAAUUCAGUAGAGUGUGGGUGGUCAAAUGAGAGAGUCCAGUCACUGAGAAGCUCAGCUGCAGGGGAAGGCCAACUUCCUACUCCAUCCCCUUUCUGGCUCCCCAGCUAUCUACUGAGAGCUACCUCCCCCCCUCAAUAAAACCUUGCAUUCAUUCUCCAA